rnacentral:misc_RNA from 1 species
CUGACGAACGAGCGAACUCCCCGCGGAUGCAGGAGGAGGAGGUGUAGGAGCGACCACCGACCAUCCGCGUUUCACCAUCCCCUUCUCCGAUCUCAAGGGUUUGUCCGCUGGUUUGCUAAGGCAAGCAACGUACAUAGACUGCUCGUCUUGGAUCCUUCAGGAAUCAUAAAAGCAUAUGAAGGAACAAUGUAUAGGCUACAAAGAAGCAUAAGAAGCAUUUUUAUAGCAGAAGCCAAGUUUUCUGAUGAUUUUGUUUUUUCAAUUGUGUUUUCUGUUAUUAGUUCAACAUGCACAUAUAUUGACAUGAUUUAUGGCAUGGCAUCUGCCAUCUUUGUUAUAUUUAUGACAUUGUUCUUGAUUGAUGUGUGCGACAUGAAUGAUGGAUCUUUUUAA